rnacentral:piRNA from 1 species
UAAUAGGAACUUGAAGGAGCCAGUCACACCC